rnacentral:lncRNA from 1 species
GUAGAUAAUUCGAAAUACCCUCCCAUUAUUUGUAACAAUAAAUUCCAUCAAGAAUGACAAUGAGUCGAUUGCCAGCGUCCCUAAACCUUCUAUUCGGUCCUUUGCACGAAGUAGCACAAGCAGUGAAUUCAAGCACAAAAAACACAAUCAUGACAUCCCGAGUGGACACCUUAACUAGUUCAGUUCAAAGCAAGGUAGACACCUCGAAGUUGUUUCGGGUAAAGCACAGACUGUUACCAUGUGUGAAUAACACAUCUUUCUCUAUCACUCCAUGCAUUUUAUUGAACUCAUUUUCAUCAUUAGGGUAUCAUUUUACUUCCUCAUCCAUGACCAGCAUGUUGCGUAAACAAGCUAUAAAAAUAAAUUGAAAUUUUAGCAACCAUGAUGCUUGCAGAUUAUCAAUGGAGCUAGUCAUCUUGCCACAACCAUAAGAAACAAGAGCGGGAACUAUAGAACUAAUACUUGCUAUAAAAGUAUCAUGACAAUCAAUUACACAUUGUGGUUUGACAUUUAUUAUUGUUUAUCUAGUGACAUUUAAUAGUUAUGAGACUAUUCUUUUGUGGGUUAGAAUCAAUUUUAUUGUGUUUCGUAUAAUUUCUCAUUUUAUUUCAAAAAUAG